GUAAGGAUCAUCAUGAAGGACCAACUAAAGUUCAAAACGGCUGACUUCUUUCAUAACAAGACCCUGAAGGCCUAUGAGACUGACAUAACCGCAAAAUCCCAACUUUGAAAUACUCCACUCACCCUAUCCUGCUUUAAGACAUUUCAAACCUGCUUUGCUGACUCGUCACCAGUCUUUAUUCUUCUCUUUUGCACCAGCGAGUGCCGAUCGUGUUGGGUUGUGGUAGCGUUAUUUUCAAUGUUGCUGAGAAAGUUGUUGAUGAUCUUAAUGUGGCCUUUCUUGGUGCCUCUGCAAGUUGACAGAACACGCAAAUACUGAAUUAAAAAAGGAUGAAGUAUAUAUGCUAUGGGUUGCAUCACAGACAAGCCUUCCAGCUGCAAAAGCAAAAUUUAUUAUGUUGCUACCUACUUGUGGUAUUAAAGCAUGUGCUAAAUAUCAGUUUCUAGAGGAGAAUGAUGAACAGUGCAGAAGCCUAUGUGUACAGAAACCUGGAACUGCUGGCUUUUAUGUCUUACAUGUUACAAGAAAAAGCACCAAGUUUUCAGCUAGAACAGCUUAUUAAGGGAAUGAUAGGUUGA